AUGGGGCCAGGUCUUGCAGCAACCCCCAUCAUCCCUUUCCCUCAGAAGUAUGAAAAUGUCUUUUUUCUAGAGCGCUCUGUGUUGGUCAGCCAUGGUGUGACUCAGUGCCUCUGGAUGAAGCCUUCCUUAGCUCCUCCCUCCUCUUAUCUCUGCCAUAGAUCCUUGGCUUCCUGAUGAUCAAACUGAAAAAUCUGCAGUUUUCUUGCAGAAAAACAAACAAUUCCAAUGGAACAACCAUUCAAAACAUAAUAACUCAGCCCUUUAACCUCCUACCACAGUCUAAUGCCUGGCAUUACGAGUUGGGGUAAAGAAGAAGGCAGGAACAAUGAUUGUGGAGAGCUCUAUCUGCCUCAGAAAUAAUGCCAGUCGGCAAAGGCUGCCGGCAGGUUUUGUGCUCAUUUCAAAACUUCACAUUCCUCAGGCACUUAGUGGCAUUUUUGAAGAACACUGUGUCAAGGACAGUGGGUGACCCAGGAGAGUGAUGUGAGCGAGGUCAUUCUGAAUACACAGCACUUGACGUGGUAGAGUCUACAGCCACAGCUUGGAAAAACAGCUCUUGGCAGUUGUGUCUCUCUUAGCCAGCAAGCGUGGGGACCUGUGCCACGGAGACACCCAACAGGAAUCAUCAUUCCAGGUUUUGUCACUGAUGGGCAAUAUGGAGAGAAUGUAAAAAUAUCUAACUUCAAACAGAAAAAAGAAACAACUGGAAUGAAAAGCUAUAAACAAUAGUUCAGAAGAUUGACGUAGAGGAUUUACCUACAGAACUUCAGGAGAUUCCUAAGAAGGCCUUCAGUGAUCUUUUCAUCAAUAUCAUCAGGCCUUAUCAUUGUUUCACAUUUGCUUCUCUUUACCAUAGGGAAUAUAAUAAUUAUUUACUGGUUAACUUCCUAGGGAGAUUGCCUGCGGCUUAUUUAAGAUCCAAAUUUUAAAGUAAUAAUUUCUGUUGAAGCUGCUUGUGAGGUGGUUGGGUGGGCAGAUAGAGUGAAGCCAGGGACACACACUAAAUGAGCCCGGGAUGUAGGCAGGUUUUGAUGUUUUGCUUGCUUUUAUCCCUAACAUUUUAUCCCUUCACGUUUACUGUCUCACUGAACAUUUUGUCUACUCUUCUAGUUAUGCAGUGAGCAGGUCUCCUCCAGGAAGAAGCCUCUUUUUAUGAGGAUUGGGGUGGUGACAGACAAUAAUCAAAUGGUCUGAUUUCUCUGCUAUCCUUUCCUUUCCCCUAAAUGUUCUCAGGGGAUCUGCUUGAACUUUUUUCAAGAGCUCUGUAUUUGGAUUUUUAGUAGCCUAUAGAUUAUCACUCAAUAAAACAAAUUAAUUGUUUUUAAGUGAAUUGCCAAAAGUCAUUUUAAAAAGGAAACUCUAUGGUUAUUAUGGUUUCUGCUAGAAAGAAUUCUGACAGCUCAUAAAAGCAAUAUGUAUAAUUUUUCAUUUUUUAGAAGAAAAUAAAUACUUUCAUGUAAUGGCUUGAGACUCUGAAUUGCUCCAAUUCCUGAAGAUUAUUUAUUAAUCAUUUAGUCUUUUAAUAUAUUUGAGUGUGGGUUCCCUGGCAGAGGAGGGAGUUCAGAAGAGACCCUGAUUUCCCCCCCAAAAGGAAGCCACAAAUCUCUUAGAGCCCUAGUGCAUUGGGGCAGCCAGGUUUUAAUGGCCUUUGGUGGUUAUCAGCCCGUCUUGCCUCUGCUCUUUAUCUGAUAGUGACCCCAUGGCCCAACCCUGUUGGGUCCCCUCUCAAUGCGGGUGCCCUAAAGAGUCAUCGCUGAGUCCAUUUAGGCAAAGGGUUAGAAUGAUUUAAAAGUAAAAUGGUCUCCCAAACCCAAAUCUAAGUAAACGGAGGGAGGGAAAAAAGAGUCAAGCAAGCCACCACGUUCCUUCGUUCCUUCUCCUCAUUUCCACCCCCACUAAAAAACAAAACAAACAAAAAAAACUGCUUUUAGAA
rnacentral:lncRNA from 1 species